rnacentral:tRNA from 9 species
GGUCCGGUAGCUCAGCUGGAUAGAGCAUCUGCCUUCUAAGCAGACGGUCCCGCGUUCGAGUCGCGGCCGGAUCACAA